rnacentral:rRNA from 1 species
GACGAACGCUGGCGGCGUGCUUAACACAUGCAAGUCGAACGGAAAGGCCCUGCUUGCAGGGUACUCGAGUGGCGAACGGGUGAGUAACACGUGGGUGAUCUGCCCUGCACUUCGGGAUAAGCCUGGGAAACUGGGUCUAAUACCGGAUAGGAGCCAUUUUUAGUGUGAUGGUUGGAAAGUUUUUUCGGUGUAGGAUGAGCUCGCGGCCUAUCAGCUUGUUGGUGGGGUAAUGGCCUACCAAGGCGGCGACGGGUAGCCGGCCUGAGGGGGUGGACGGCCACAUUGGGGCUGGGAUACGGCCCAGACUCCUACGGGGGGCAGCAGUGGGGAAUAUUGCACAAUGGGCGCAAGCCUGAUGCAGCGACGCCGCGUGGGGGAUGACGGCCUUCGGGUUGGAAACUCCUUUCGCUAGGGACGAAGCUUUUUGUGACGGUACCUAGAGAAGAAGCACCGGCUAACUACGUG